rnacentral:lncRNA from 1 species
CAUUUAUCUAAGUGAUUUGCUCGACAUUAUUAUGCUAUUGUCAUUAUUUUAUUUACACAUUAAUAUUGAAGAAUACUUGUAGUUUACUUUGUACAAGAAAAAUGGUCAGUAAUUGUGCUCAUGGACCAUGUGACAACAAAUAUGUAUAGUUACCAUUAGACUACAAAAAUGUAUGGUAAACAAUAUGUUUCAUUUCAUCGCUAGCUAAAUGAUUGUACAACUUUUUCCCAUUGACUAAAAUAUAUUAAUCCACUCUCAAUUUUCAAUUUUCGAAAUAAAAAAAAAUCUCAGAAAGCCUCUCAUUUCAAAGUGUGAGAAUUCAACAACUAAGAUAAAUAAUAUGAUCAAUUGAGGGGAAGAAUCUAUAUGUAUAUAAUAGGAUAUUCAUUUUUUUUCAAUUUUCUAUUUUUAUCAUUACAAGAAUGAUUGACAAUCAUUGAUAGACUAAGCACAGUAUCCAAGACAACAACAAGUGUAUUGUAAGCUGCUUAACCAUUCUAAAACAAUAUUUUUGUCUAGUCAAUAUAAGUUUUGCAGCAUGUACAGUCAAUUUUUUAUGUGCAUACUGUGAAUCAUUCAAGUUAUGAAAAUGGACGUGUUGAUAAUUUUGACAGCAGCAUUACAAUGAAGAUAAUUAUAUAUUGUAUAUUAAAAUUCAAUAAUACUACACUUUUGAUGAUAGUUUCCAACUUAGUGAUAAUAUUUUCCAACAUUACAAUUAAUGAAUACCAGCCUAUGGUUGAUAGUUUCCAUUAUUAGAUUUAAUCAAAGUUUCCAUUAUAAAAAUUGCAUAAAACAAGCCUAUGUUAAUCAGCUUCCAAUAUAAAAAUUCCAUAAAGCAAGUCUUUGUUAGGUAGUUUCCAAUAUAAAAGUCCCUCAAAGCAAGAUUUUUAAGAUAGUAACCAAUAUAAAAAUCUGUCAAUACAAGCAUAAGGCUUCCAAUAUAAGAAUCCACUAAUAUCAGUCUAGGAUUUGUACUAAACAAUACAUAAAUCCCCAAUUCUAGCCUAUUGUUGGUAGUUUACAAUAUGAAAAAUCCACUAAUAUCAGGCUAUGGUUGUUAGUUUAGAAUACAUAAAUCCACUAAUAUCAGGCUAGGGUCAGUAGUUUCCAAUAUUAAAAUCCACUACUAUCAGGCCAGGGUUGGUAUUUUCCAUAUUUAAAUCCAAUAGUAUCAGGCCAGGGUCUGUAGUUUUCAAUAUUUAAAUCCAAUAGUAUCAGGCCAGGGUCUGUAGUUCUCAAUAUUUAAAUCCAAUAGUAUCAGGCCAGGGUCAGUAGUUUUCAAUAUUUAAAUCCAAUAGUAUCAGGCCAGGGUUGAUAGUUUCCAUUAUUAAAAUCCACUACUAUCAGGCCAGGGUUGGUAUUUUAUAAUAUUAAAAGUGUUUGUUAUUCCAUUAUAGAUAAACACCAAAAUAGCCUAGUGUUUACCUUAUCUUGGUUGUAUCUUUCAGUAUCAAUAAACUUUUCUCUUAUGUUCAAUAAAGCUUAUGCUGAUGUUUUAGGACCAGUUAAGGCUGAAACUGUCAGUGUUGAAAUUAAAACAAACUUGCAGGAUUAAGCAUAAACGGCAAAAAAGUGGCCAGAAAAUGAAUUUACCCCAUAAGCUUUGAUAGAUAGCAAAUUUUUAAAAAGUUGAUAACGAAACAUUGGUAUUAAAAAGUCGCCGUUUUUACACUAAAAAGAUAUGUUUACUAAAUAUUAUUUCCAUUUUGGUUAUAUUAUUUUAAACAAAUGUCCAAAUUGAAUGACAUUUUGUUAUGUUUUUACAUUUUAAUAGUAAAGGAACUACAGUGUGACUUUUUCCACAUUGUAACCAUUAAGUCAUAUAUCAUUUAAAGAUAACUAAGGUCUUUGGUAUAAAUAAAUAUUUUUACACUUGAAAAUAAUAACUUUACAUAAGACUGGUACUUUGCAGAAUAAUAAGAUUUUUGGCAAAUUUGACAAAAUUUUCAAUUAAAACUAGAAUUUUAUUACAAAUUUAUCUUUUACAGAUAGUUAUGAA